GGAUUCUGAUGAUGGGAUUCGAACCCACAAUCUUUGGCUUAGAAGGCUAACGUCUUAUCUCUUAGGCCACAGGACC